rnacentral:rRNA from 1 species
UACGAAGGGGGCUAGCGUUGUUCGGAAUUACUGGGCGUAAAGCGCACGUAGGCGGAUAUUUAAGUCAGGGGUGAAAUCCCAGAGCUCAACUCUGGAACUGCCUUUGAUACUGGGUAUCUUGAGUAUGGAAGAGGUAAGUGGAAUUCCGAGUGUAGAGGUGAAAUUCGUAGAUAUUCGGAGGAACACCAGUGGCGAAGGCGGCUUACUGGUCCAUUACUGACGCUGAGGUGCGAAAGCGUGGGGAGCAAACAGGAUUAGAUACCCCGGUAGUCC